rnacentral:tRNA from 1 species
CGUCGGCGAUGCGGAUCGGCACCGUCGGCCGGCCGCUGCCCGGCGUGGAGUUGGCGAUCGCCGAUGACGGCGAGAUCCUCGCCCGCGGCGACGUC